rnacentral:rRNA from 1 species
GACGAACGCUGGCGGCGUGCUUAACACAUGCAAGUCGAACGGUAAGGCCCUUUCGGGGGUCCACGGGUGGCGAACGGGUGCGUAACACGUGGGUGAUCUGCCCCGCACUUUGGGAUAAGGCUGGGAAACUGGGUCUAAUACUGGAUCGGACUACUCGAUUCAUGUCGUUUGGUCCAAAGUUUUGGCGGUGUGGGAUGGGCCCGAGGCCUAUCAGCUUGUUGGUUGGGUGAUGGCCUACCAAGGCGACGCCGGGUAGCCGGCCUGAGAGGGUGGCCGGCCACACUGCGACUGAGAUACGGCCCAGACUCCAAUGGUACGCAGCGGUGGAGAGUAUUGCACAAUGGGCGCAAGCCUGAUGUAGCGACGCCGCGUGGGGGAUGACGGCCUGCGGGUUGUAAACCAAUGUCAGCAUAGACGAGGCGUAAGUGACGGUAUCUGCAGAAGAAGCACCGGCUAACUACGUG